GGGAAUCCGGUGCGAAUCCGGAACUGUCCCGCAACGGUGUACUUGUGCGUGCCCGCGUCAUCCCGCGGACGCGCACGGGCUUCAGUCCGAGGACC
rnacentral:ncRNA from 1 species